AACUUUCAACAACGGAUCUCUUGGCUCUCGCAUCGAUGAAGAACGCAGCGAAAUGCGAUACGUAAUGUGAAUUGCAGAAUUCAGUGAAUCAUCGAAUCUUUGAACGCACCUUGCGCCCUUUGGCAUUCCGAGGGGCACACCCGUUUGAGUGUCG
rnacentral:rRNA from 1 species